rnacentral:rRNA from 1 species
AGUGAACGCUGGCGGUAGGCCUAACACAUGCAAGUCGAACGGCAGCACAGGAGAGCUUGCUCUCUGGGUGGCGAGUGGCGGACGGGUGAGGAAUACAUCGGAAUCUACUCUGUCGUGGGGGAUAACGUAGGGAAACUUACGCUAAUACCGCAUACGACCUACGGGUGAAAGCAGGGGACCUUCGGGCCUUGCGCGAUUGAAUGAGCCGAAGUCGGAUUAGCUAGUUGGCGGGGUAAAGGCCCACCAAGGCGACGAUCCGUAGCUGGUCUGAGAGGAUGAUCAGCCACACUGGAACUGAGACACGGUCCAGACUCCUAAGGGAGGCAGCAGUGGGGAGUAUUGGACAAGGGGCGCAAGCCUGAUCCAGCCAUACCGCGUGGGUGAAGAAGGCCUUCGGGUUGUAAGGCCCUUUUGUUGGGAAAGAAAUCCAGCUGGCUAAUACCCGGUUGGGAUGACGGUACCCAAAGAAUAAGCACCGGCUAACUUCGUGCCAGCAGCCGCCGUAA